UUCCGGUUGAUCCCGCCGGACCUGACUGCUAUCGGAUUGAUACUAAGCCAUGCGAGUCUUUGUAGUAAUACAAGGCAUACGGCUCAGUAACACGUAGUCAACCUACCCUAUGGACGAGAAUAAUCUCGGGAAACUGAGCAUAAUUCUUGAUAGAUCAUAAUGCCUGGAAUGGUUUAUGGUUAAAAUGAUUCGUCGCCAUAGGAUGGGACUGCGGCCUAUCAGCUUGUUGGUGAGGUAAUGGCCCACCAAGGCGAUUACAGGUACGGGCUCUGAGAGGAGAAGCCCGGAGAUGGGUACUGAGACACGGACCCAGGCCCUAUGGGGCGCAGCAGGCGAGAAAACUUUGCAAUGUGCGAAAGCACGACAAGGUUAAUCCGAGUGAUUUCUGCUAAAGAAAUCUUUUGCCAGUCGUAAAACCGCUGGUGAAUAAGGGGUGGGCAAGUUCUGGUGUCAGCCGCCGCGGUAAAACCAGCACCUCAAGUGGUCAGGAUGAUUAUUGGGCCUAAAGCAUCCGUAGCCGGCUUUGUAAGUUUUCGGUUAAAUCCAUGUGCUCAACGCAUGGGCUGCCGAAAAUACUGCAUAGCUAGGGAGUGGAAGAGGUAGACGGUACUCAGUAGGUAGGGGUAAAAUCCUUUGAUCUAUUGAUGACCACCUGUGGCGAAGGCGGUCUACCAGAACACGUUCGACGGUGAGGGAUGAAAGCUGGGGGAGCAAACCGGAUUAGAUACCCGGGUAGUCCCAGCUGUAAACGAUGCAGACUCGAUGAUGCAUUGGCAUAAUAGCCAUUGCAGUGUCGCAGGGAAGCCGUUAAGUCUGCCGCCUGGGAAGUACGUACGCAAGUAUGAAACUUAAAGGAAUUGGCGGGGGAGCACCACAAGGGGUGAAGCCUGCGGUUCAAUUGGAAUCAACGCCGGG
rnacentral:rRNA from 1 species